CGCUAGCUACAGGCUUAACACAUGCAAGUCGAGGGGCAGCAUGGUCUUAGCUUGCUAAGACUGAUGGCGACCGGCGCACGGGUGAGUAACACGUAUCCAACCUGCCGUCUACUCUUGGACAGCCUUCUGAAAGGAAGAUUAAUACAAGAUGGCAUCAUGAGUCCACAUGUUCACAUGAUUAAAGGUAUUCCGGUAGACGAUGGGGAUGCGUUCCAUUAGAUAGUAGGCGGGGUAACGGCCCACCUAGUCUUCGAUGGAUAGGGGUUCUGAGAGGAAGGUCCCCCACAUUGGAACUGAGACACGGUCCAAACUCCUACGGGAGGCAGCAGUGAGGAAUAUUGGUCAAUGGGCGAGAGCCUGAACCAGCCAAGUAGCGUGAAGGAUGACUGCCCUGUGGGUUGUAAACUUCUUUUAUAAAGGAAUAAAGUCGGGUAUGCAUACCCGUUUGCAUGUACUUUAUGAAUAAGGAUCGGCUAACUCCGUGCCAGCAGCCGCGGUAAUACGGAGGAUCCGAGCGUUAUCCGGAUUUAUUGGGUUUAAAGGGAGCGUAGAUGGAUGUUUAAGUCAGUUGUGAAAGUUUGCGGCUCAACCGUAAAAUUGCAGUUGAUACUGGAUAUCUUGAGUGCAGUUGAGGCAGGCGGAAUUCGUGGUGUAGCGGUGAAAUGCUUAGAUAUCACGAAGAACUCCGAUUGCGAAGGCAGCCUGCUAAGCUGCAACUGACAUUGAGGCUCGAAAGUGUGGGUAUCAAACAGGAUUAGAUACCCUGGUAGUCCACACGGUAAACGAUGAAUACUCGCUGUUUGCGAUAUACAGCAAGCGGCCAAGCGAAAGCGUUAAGUAUUCCACCUGGGGAGUACGCCGGCAACGGUGAAACUCAAAGGAAUUGACGGGGGCCCGCACAAGCGGAGGAACAUGUGGUUUAAUUCGAUGAUACGCGAGGAACCUUACCCGGGCUUAAAUUGCAGAUGAAUUACGGUGAAAGCCGUAAGCCGCAAGGCAUCUGUGAAGGUGCUGCAUGGUUGUCGUCAGCUCGUGCCGUGAGGUGUCGGCUUAAGUGCCAUAACGAGCGCAACCCUUGUUGUCAGUUACUAACAGGUCCUGCUGAGGACUCUGACAAGACUGCCAUCGUAAGAUGUGAGGAAGGUGGGGAUGACGUCAAAUCAGCACGGCCCUUACGUCCGGGGCUACACACGUGUUACAAUGGGGGGUACAGAGGGCCGCUACCACGCGAGUGGAUGCCAAUCCCCAAAACCUCUCUCAGUUCGGACUGGAGUCUGCAACCCGACUCCACGAAGCUGGAUUCGCUAGUAAUCGCGCAUCAGCCACGGCGCGGUGAAUACGUUCCCGGGCCUUGUACACACCGCCCGUCAAGCCAUGGGAGCCGGGGGUACCUGAAGUGCGUAACCGCGAGGAGCGCCCUAGGGUAAAACUGGUGACUGGGGC
rnacentral:rRNA from 1 species